UACGUAGGGCGCAAGCGUUAUCCGGAUUUAUUGGGCGUAAAGAGCGUGUAGGCGGCUUGGUAGGUCUCGCGUCAAAACCUGAGGCUCAACCUCAGUUCGCGUGGGAAACCACCUAGCUAGAGUCCGGAAGAGGAGAACGGAAUUCCCAGUGUAGCGGUGAAAUGCGCAGAUAUUGGGAAGAACACCAGUGGCGAAGGCGGUUCUCUGGGACGGUACUGACGCUGAGACGCGAAAGCGUGGGGAGCGAACAGG
rnacentral:rRNA from 1 species